UUCAACAUUUAAGCAAAAGUAAACAAUUUGUACAUUUUUCCUUCUCUGAUUUUCUUAUAUACAAAUCAUAUAAAUUAAUCAUAAUUGUUACGCUGGUUGAUUGCAUUAUUAGAAUCAAUUGAGCUUCAGAGAUUACGAUUGUACGGAGUAUUUUGCCUUCUAUUGGUAAUACAAUUGACUAAUUGUCAAUUAAAUGAGGACGAUGAUGGUGGAGAUGGACGCUCAUAUGAAGGUGAUGUUGAAGAGCCUAAAAUAAGCAACAACAAUGGUAAACCUGAAGCAGCUGUGGAUGAAAAAAAGUCUACCGAGGUUAAAGUGAAUGAACAAGAAGAUUUAAGGCCACGAUCACAUUUCACCGAAGAACGGUUUACUCAAUUGUUUGUACCUCGAAAUUCAAGGCGUAAACUUGUUUCAGCUCGCUAUACAACAAAGCCCAGGCCAACUUUACCUUCCUUCAUUAAAAAA